CCAUAUCACAGAGUUCAGAUAAAUUAUAAUCUGGGCUGAUGCAGGCCGCAUCAGUGCUGAAAUUUGAUUGAGUCCAAAUAAGCUCUCGGCCGUCAUCAUAAUCUCCAUUCACUAUCUUCAUCACAGGCCUUAACCAACCUUCCUACCCUUAAGCCUUUCCAUCAUCCUCUUUUCAAGCCCCCUUCAAUCAUAAUCAAAGUUCCCUACUUACAGGCCAUCUCUGGCAUCCACACCACAUAGUUGAACCAUUUAGGUUUGCUUUCCAUCAUAAUUAACUGAGUCUCACUCGUAUGCUGAUUUUGUUUGCCUUCGUUCUUCAUUCUUUCCUCAGAUUUUCGCAUGCAUCCAUCUCGAUGACGAUGAUGCUUAUCUCAACAUAUGCAUGUUGCGAUUUCACAGCACUCUAGAGGAAAUCUUCACUUCAUUUGAAAUAUACUCAUCAAUCUCUCCGUCUUUUCGAAACAAUACUUGUAGAAAUGGAAUGAAUUGUGUUAAGGAAUCUCCUGAAAUUGUAUUUUAACUAAAACCCUUUGCUCUUUAA